UAGGGAAUCUUCCGCAAUGGACGAAAGUCUGACGGAGCAACGCCGCGUGAACGAAGAAGGCCUUCGGGUCGUAAAGUUCUGUUGUUAGGGAAGAACAAGUACGAGAGUAACUGCUCGUACCUUGACGGUACCUAACCAGAAAGCCACGGCUAACUACGUGCCAGCAGCCGCGGUAAUACGUAGGUGGCAAGCGUUGUCCGGAAUUAUUGGGCGUAAAGCGCGCGCAGGCGGUCCUUUAAGUCUGAUGUGAAAGCCCACGGCUCAACCGUGGAGGGUCAUUGGAAACUGGGGGACUUGAGUGCAGGAGAGGAGAGCGGAAUUCCACGUGUAGCGGUGAAAUGCGUAGAGAUGUGGAGGAACACCAGUGGCGAAGGCGGCUCUCUGGCCUGUAACUGACGCUGAGGCGCGAAAGCGUGGGGAGCAAACA
rnacentral:rRNA from 1 species